AGAGUUUGAUCAUGGCUCAGAUUGAACGCUGGCGGCAGGCUUAACACAUGCAAGUCGAGCGGGGAAGUAUAGCUUGCUAUACGACCUAGCGGCGGACGGGUGAGUAAUGCUUAGGAAUCUGCCUAUUAGUGGGGGACAACAUUCCGAAAGGAAUGCUAAUACCGCAUACGCCCUACGGGGGAAAGCAGGGGAUCUUCGGACCUUGCGCUAAUAGAUGAGCCUAAGUCAGAUUAGCUGGUUGGUGGGGUAAAGGCCUACCAAGGCGACGAUCUGUAGCGGGUCUGAGAGGAUGAUCCGCCACACUGGGACUGAGACACGGCCCAGACACCUACGGGAGGCAGCAGUGGGGAAUAUUGGACAAUGGGCGCAAGCCUGAUCCAGCCAUGCCGCGUGUGUGAAGAGGGCCUUUUGGUUGUAAAGCACUUUAAGCGAGGAGGAGGCUACUUGGAUUAAUACUCUAGGAUAGUGGACGUUACUCGCAGAAUAAGCACCGGCUAACUCUGUGCCAGCAGCCGCGGUAAUACAGAGGGUGCGAGCGUUAAUCGGAUUUACUGGGCGUAAAGCGUGCGUAGGCGGCUUUUUAAGUCGGAUGUGAAAUCCCUGAGCUUAACUUAGGAAUUGCAUUCGAUACUGGGAAGCUAGAGUAUGGGAGAGGAUGGUAGAAUUCCAGGUGUAGCGGUGAAAUGCGUAGAGAUCUGGAGGAAUACCGAUGGCGAAGGCAGCCAUCUGGCCUAAUACUGACGCUGAGGUACGAAAGCAUGGGGAGCAAACAGGAUUAGAUACCCUGGUAGUCCAUGCCGUAAACGAUGUCUACUAGCCGUUGGGGCCUUUGAGGCUUUAGUGGCGCAGCUAACGCGAUAAGUAGACCGCCUGGGGAGUACGGUCGCAAGACUAAAACUCAAAUGAAUUGACGGGGGCCCGCACAAGCGGUGGAGCAUGUGGUUUAAUUCGAUGCAACGCGAAGAACCUUACCUGGUCUUGACAUAGUAAGAACUUUCCAGAGAUGGAUUGGUGCCUUCGGGAACUUACAUACAGGUGCUGCAUGGCUGUCGUCAGCUCGUGUCGUGAGAUGUUGGGUUAAGUCCCGCAACGAGCGCAACCCUUUUCCUUAUUUGCCAGCGGGUUAAGCCGGGAACUUUAAGGAUACUGCCAGUGACAAACUGGAGGAAGGCGGGGACGACGUCAAGUCAUCAUGGCCCUUACGACCAGGGCUACACACGUGCUACAAUGGUCGGUACAAAGGGUUGCUACCUAGCGAUAGGAUGCUAAUCUCAAAAAGCCGAUCGUAGUCCGGAUUGGAGUCUGCAACUCGACUCCAUGAAGUCGGAAUCGCUAGUAAUCGCGGAUCAGAAUGCCGCGGUGAAUACGUUCCCGGGCCUUGUACACACCGCCCGUCACACCAUGGGAAUUUGUUGCACCAGAAGUAGGUAGUCUAACCGCAAGGAGGACGCUUACCACGGUGUGGCCGAUGACUGGGG
rnacentral:rRNA from 1 species